UAUUAUGGUUAUACAACCUUGAGUGUGCCUAAUCUCAUCUGAUCUUGGAAGCUAAACAGGUUCAGGACUGGUUUGUGCUUGGAUGGGAGGGCACCUUGGACUACUGAGUGUUGGAAACU
rnacentral:rRNA from 1 species